CGCGUAGGCGGACCUUCAAGUCGGGUGUGAAAUCUGUUGGCUUAACUGACAGCCUGCAUCCGAUACUGUUGGUCUUGAGUACAGGAGAGGAGAGUGGAAUUCCAGGUGUAGCGGUGAAAUGCGUAGAUAUCUGGAAGAACACCAGUAGCGAAGGCGGCUCUCUGGACUGAUACUGACGCUAAAGCGCGAAGGCUUGGGGAGCAAACAGGAUUAGAUACCCUGGUAGUCC
rnacentral:rRNA from 1 species